AAGAAGCUAGUUAAAAUAACAUUUACUUGUCAAGUAAAAAUUACAUUAUAAAAAUGUGCAUCUUG
rnacentral:tRNA from 1 species